rnacentral:rRNA from 1 species
CAGUCGCCGCGGGAAUACGGAGGGUGCAAGCGUUAUCCGGAUUUAUUGGGUUUAAAGGGUCCGUAGGCGGAUCUGUAAGUCAGUGGUGAAAUCUCACAGCUUAACUGUGAAACUGCCAUUGAUACUGCAGGUCUUGAGUAAAUUUGAAGUGGCUGGAAUAAGUAGUGUAGCGGUGAAAUGCAUAGAUAUUACUUAGAACACCAAUUGCGAAGGCAGGUCACUAAGAUUUAACUGACGCUGAUGGACGAAAGCGUGGGGAGCGAACAGGAUUAGAUACCCGCGUAGUCCCUGUCUCUUAUAA